rnacentral:rRNA from 1 species
CCUACGGGAGGCUGCAGUGGGGAAUCUUGCGCAAUGGGCGAAAGCCUGACGCAGCCAUGCCGCGUGAAUGAUGAAGGUCUUAGGAUUGUAAAAUUCUUUCACCGGGGACGAUAAUGACGGUACCCGGAGAAGAAGCCCCGGCUAACUUCGUGCCAGCAGCCGCGGUAAUACGCAGGGGGCUAGCGUUGCUCGGAAUUACUGGUCGUAAAGGGCGCGUAGGCGGACAUUUAAGUCAGGGGUGAAAUCCCAGAGCAAAAAGGUGGAACAGAGUUUGAGACUGGGUGGCUUGAGUGUGAGAGAGGUAUGUGGAACUCCGAGUGUAGAGGUGAAAUUCGUAGAUAUUCGGAAGAACACCAGUGGCGAAGGCGACAUACUGGCUCAUUACUGACGCUGAGGCGAGAAAGCGUGGGGAGCAAACAGGAUUAGAUACCCUGGUAGUC